rnacentral:rRNA from 1 species
CCUACGGGAGGCAGCAGUGAGGAAUAUUGGUCAAUGGUCGGAAGCCUGAACCAGCCAAGCCGCGUGAGGGAGGAAGGUACUGUGUAUCGUAAACCUCUUUUGUAAGGGAAUAAAGUGUGGGACGUGUCCUGUUUUGUGUGUACCUUAUGAAUAAGGAUCGGCUAACUCCGUGCCAGCAGCCGCGGUAAUACGGAGGAUCCGAGCGUUAUCCGGAUUUAUUGGGUUUAAAGGGUGCGUAGGCGGCCUUUUAAGUCAGCGGUGAAAGUCUGUGGCUCAACCAUAGGAGUGCCGUUGAAACUGGGAGGCUUGAGUAUGUGAGAGGCAGGCGGAAUGCGUGGUGUAGCGGUGAAAGGCAUAGAUAUCACGCAGAACCCCGAUUGCGAAGGCAGCCUGCCAAGCCAUGACUGACGCUGAUGCACGAAAGCGUGGGGAUCAAACAGGAUUAGAUACCCCUGUAGUC